GAUGAACGCUGGCGGCGUGCCUAAUACAUGCAAGUCGAGCGAACAGACGAGGAGCUUGCUCCUCUGACGUUAGCGGCGGACGGGUGAGUAACACGUGGAUAACCUACCUAUAAGACUGGGAUAACUUCGGGAAACCGGAGCUAAUACCGGAUAAUAUAUUGAACCGCAUGGUUCAAUAGUGAAAGACGGUUUUGCUGUCACUUAUAGAUGGAUCCGCGCCGCAUUAGCUAGUUGGUAAGGUAACGGCUUACCAAGGCAACGAUGCGUAGCCGACCUGAGAGGGUGAUCGGCCACACUGGAACUGAGACACGGUCCAGACUCCUACGGGAGGCAGCAGUAGGGAAUCUUCCGCAAUGGGCGAAAGCCUGACGGAGCAACGCCGCGUGAGUGAUGAAGGUCUUCGGAUCGUAAAACUCUGUUAUUAGGGAAGAACAAAUGUGUAAGUAACUAUGCACGUCUUGAAGGUACCUAAUCAGAAAGCCAAGGCUAAAUACGUG
rnacentral:rRNA from 1 species